rnacentral:lncRNA from 1 species
CCUAAGCCCCAGGGCCGAAAUGGGUCCAGUUCGGGCACUACCCGGCACGGCCAACAAGGAUCUGGCUCAGGUUGUUCCUCCAGCCGUUGGGCCAUUAUGAGUCUGGCUCAGGCCAGUCUUCUGGCUUUGGGCAACAUGAUCAGGCUCAGCACAGUCCUCUGGCUAUAGUCCAGCAUGGUUCUGCCUCAGGUCAACUCCUCUAUAGCCAGGACAACAUGAGGCCGACAUGGGUCCGGUUCCGGGCACUCUUCUAGCUACAGCCAACAUGGGUCUGGCUCAGGGCAGUCUUCUAGCUGUGGCCAAUAUGGGUCUGGCUCAGGACAGUCCUCUGGUUAUAGUCAGCAUGGAAGUGGCUCAGGGGCAGGUGGGUAUUCUUAUUGCAAAGGAGGAAGUAACUAUGAAGGUGAAAGUUCUUGCUCAGAUUUUCUCAGUUUUCAUAGUAGGACUUCACCCUAUGAAUAUAUCCAAAAGCAGAGGUGCUACUUUUAGCGUUGAAUAAUAAAUAUAAAUGCA